GAGGAAUAUUGGUCAAUGGACGAGAGUCUGAACCAGCCAAGUAGCGUGAAGGAUGACUGCCCUAUGGGUUGUAAACUUCUUUUAUACGGGAAUAAAGUGAGGCACGUGUGCCUUUUUGUAUGUACCGUAUGAAUAAGGAUCGGCUAACUCCGUGCCAGCAGCCGCGGUAAUACGGAGGAUCCGAGCGUUAUCCGGAUUUAUUGGGUUUAAAGGGAGCGUAGGCGGACGCUUAAGUCAGUUGUGAAAGUUUGCGGCUCAACCGUAAAAUUGCAGUUGAUACUGGGUGUCUUGAGUACAGUAGAGGCAGGCGGAAUUCGUGGUGUAGCGGUGAAAUGCUUAGAUAUCACGAAGAACUCCGAUUGCGAAGGCAGCUUGCUGGACUGUAACUGACGCUGAUGCUCGAAAGUGUGGGUAUCAAACAGGAUUAGAUACCCUGGUAGUCCACACAGUAAACGAUGAAUACUCGCUGUUUGCGAUAUACAGUAAGCGGCCAAGCGAAAGCGUUAAGUAUUCCACCUGGGGAGUACGCCGGCAACGGUGAAACUCAAAGGAAUUGACGGGGGCCCGCACAAGCGGAGGAACAUGUGGUUUAAUUCGAUGAUACGCGAGGAACCUUACCCGGGCUUGAAUUGCAACUGAAUGAUGUGGAGACAUGUCAGCCGCAAGGCAGUUGUGAAGGUGCUGCAUGGUUGUCGUCAGCUCGUGCCGUGAGGUGUCGGCUUAAGUGCCAUAACGAGCGCAACCCUUAUCGAUAGUUACCAUCAGGUUAUGCUGGGGACUCUGUCGAGACUGCCGUCGUAAGAUGUGAGGAAGGUGGGGAUGACGUCAAAUCAGCACGGCCCUUACGUCCGGGGCUACACACGUGUUACAAUGGGGGGUACAGAAGGCAGCUACACGGCGACGUGAUGCUAAUCCCGAAAGCCUCUCUCAGUUCGGAUUGGAGUCUGCAACCCGACUCCAUGAAGCUGGAUUCGCUAGUAAUCACGCAUCAGCCACGGCGCGGUGAAUACGUUCCCG
rnacentral:rRNA from 1 species